UUCGCCCUUUUCCGGUUGAUCCUGCCGGACCCGACUGCUAUCAGAGUGGGACUAAGCCAUGCGAGUCGACGUAGCAAUACGUGGCGAACGGCUCAGUAACACGUAGUCAACAUGCCCAGGGGACGUGGAUAAUCUCGGGAAACUGAGAAUAAACCACGAUAGGUCACGAUUUCUGGAAUGGAUCUUGGCUCAAAUCUACAUGGCCCCUGGAUUGGACUGCGGCCGAUCAGGCUGUUGGUGAGGUAAUGGCCCACCAAACCUAUAACCGGUACGGGCUCUGAGAGGAGGAGCCCGGAGAUGGGCACUGAGACAAGGGCCCAGGCCCUAUGGGGCGCAGCAGGCGCGAAACCUCUGCAAUAGGCGAAAGCCUGACAGGGUUACUCUGAGUGAUUCCCGCUAAGGGGAUCUUUUGGCACCUCUAAAAAUGGUGCAGAAUAAGGGGUGGGCAAGUCUGGUGUCAGCCGCCGCGGUAAUACCAGCACCCCGAGUGGUCGGGACGAUUAUUGGGCCUAAAGCAUCCGUAGCCGGUUCUGCAAGUCCUCCGUUAAAUCCAACCGCUCAACGGAUGGGCCGCGGAGGAUACUAUAGGACUAGGAGGCGGGAGAGGCAAGCGGUACUCA
rnacentral:rRNA from 1 species